rnacentral:snRNA from 1 species
GUGCUCACUUCAGCAGCACAGAUACUAAAGUUGGAACGAUACAGAGAAAAUCAGAUGGCCCCUGUGCGAGGAUGACAUGCAGGUUCGUGAAAAGAAAGAACUGUUG